rnacentral:misc_RNA from 1 species
AACGCACCUUGCGCCCUCUGGUAUUCCGGAGGGCAUGCCUGUUUGAGUGUCGCGUGAAUCUCUCAACCCCGUUCGACAACUCGUUGUCUUGAGCGGGCGUUGGACUUGGACCGUGCUGCAGCAAUGCGGCUCGUCUUGAAAUGUAUCGGCUCGGCUUUCUGCGCGGGUUAACCACAGUGUGAUAAUUGUCAUCGCUGGGGUCCGCACGUCGCUUUGCCUUACCGCCCUCGGGCAAACUUCACCUUGCGCUCUGACCUCAAAUCAGGUAGGACUACCCGCUGAACUUAA